UGUUUAUAGCAAGCUAUUCUUCCUUUAACAUCGUUUAGGAUACCUCUAAAGGGGGUUUUCAUGCACUCCAUGAUCUCUGAGUGUAAAAGAAACUCCUUUACGAAACUGUUACAUCAAAAGUAAAAAAAUGAAAGGACAAAAUGGAAAGCAGAGAAAUUUGAUUCUUUCU